UACGUAGGUGGCAAGCGUUGUCCGGAUUUAUUGGGUUUAAAGGGUGCGUAGGCGGCCUAUUAAGUCAGUGCUGAAAUAUCCCGGCUUAACCGGGAGGGUGGCAUUGAUACUGAUGGGCUUGAGUAAAGUUGAGGUAGGCGGAAUUGACGGUGUAGCGGUGAAAUGCUUAGAUAUCGUCAAGAACACCGAUAGUGAAGACAGCUUACUAAGCUUUAACUGACGCUGAGGCACGAAAGUGUGGGGAUCAAACAGGAUUAGAAACCCCCGUAGUCC
rnacentral:rRNA from 1 species